rnacentral:rRNA from 1 species
UGGGGAAUCUUCCGCAAUGGGCGAAAGCCUGACGGAGCAACGCCGCGUGAGUGAAGAAGGCCUUCGGGUCGUAAAGCUCUGUCUUCAGGGACGAAAAAGCAGGGGAGUAAUAUGCCCUUGCCGUGACGGUACCUGAGGAGGAAGCUCCGGCUAACUACGUGCCAGCAGCCGCGGUAAUACGUAGGGGGCGAGCGUUGUCCGGAAUUACUGGGCGUAAAGGGCGCGUAGGCGGGGGUGUAAGUAAGGUGUGAAAACUCCAGGCUCAACCUGGAGACUGCACUGUAAACUGGAUCUCUUGAGGGCAGGAGAGGAAAGUGGAAUUCCUAGUGUAGCGGUGAAAUGCGUAGAUAUUAGGAGGAACACCAGUGGCGAAGGCGACUUUCUGGACUGUACCUGACGCUGAGGCGCGAAAGCGUGGGGAGCGAACA